GAAAAUCAAUUGGCGAGAUUCCGCUUGAAAGACAUGGGUAGUGAGAUGCUUACCUCGGAUUCGCGUCUCACUACCUUGUCUUUCAUGCGGCGCUCGCAGCAA